UAGGGAAUAUUGCUUAAUGGGCGAAAGCCUGAAGCAGCAACGCCGCGUGAACGAGGAAGGCCUUCGGGUCGUAAAGUUCUUUUACGUGGGAUGAGGAAGGACAGUACCACGAGAAUAAGUCUCGGCUAACUACGUGCCAGCAGCCGCGGUAAAACGUAGGAGACGAGCGUUAUCCGGAUUUACUGGGCGUAAAGCGCGUGUAGGAGGCGCUACAAGUUGGAUGUGAAAGCUCCCGGCUUAACUGGGAGAGGUCGUUCAAGACUGUAGAGCUAGAGUGAGGCAGAGGUAGAUGGAACUCCGGGAGUAGUGGUGAAAUGCGUAGAUAUCCGGAAGAACACCAGAGGCGACAGCGAUCUACUGGGCCUAAACUGACACUGAGACGCGAAAGCCAGGGUAGCAAACGG
rnacentral:rRNA from 1 species